GAUGAAAGAGUGUGAGACCUUAUCUCAAAAACCAAAACAUCUAAACAAAAACAACCCACCCUUUCAUUUUCAUGAAGUCCCAAGUCAAAAGAACAUUUCUGGUGUUAGAUACCUGAACUGGGUGGGCCCUUUGACUGUUGGAGUCAGAGUUCUGAUGCCCAGAGUGAGUGAUUCCAGGGGCUGAGAUUGCAAUGUCACUGUUCUUAAAACUGUCUGCUGUGUCACUUCCGAGUGUAACCCCUGGAGACAGGCUCUCAGAAUCACCUGUGAAGGCGGAAGCCAGUUUUGGCUGCUCCAGCGGAUUUAGGGAUGCCAGGGAUAAUACUAGGACUCACUUCAGACUGGUCCAACAGCUACCAGGAUGAGUAUUUCAAAGCUCUCUGGGUCCUGGGGAUGAGCAGUGCCCUCUCAUCCUGUAAUAAUCGUGGACAUCACACACUGAUGUACAGACAUGGUGCCAGCGCCUCCCUUCCUUGGGGUCUUGGAAAACCCGGUGCCACAAUGGGAUCUAAGUAUCCUUGGAUCAAUACGGAUUCGUGUUUCUCACACCGAAGUUCAGGGCUCUGGCAGCUCCAGGUCCCCUGAGGCCCUGAGGAAAGAGUCACUUGAAGUGGAGUGGACCCUGGUACUACUUGCAAUUCCUCCAAGAGACUGGGUCUCGCAACGUUGCCCAAGCUGGUCUUGAACUCUGACCUCAAGUGAUCCUCCUGCCUUGGCCUUCCAAAGUGUUGGGAUUAGAGGUGUGAGUCACCACUCCUGGCCCUAACUGGUGUUUUGAAAACAGAUCAAAGGACAACAACUGAGGAAGCGGGUGACCAGUUGGAAGGCUAUUGCAACGAGCCAGGUGACUGUGACACAGGUGGUAAAUGGCCGGAUUCAGGAUCGAUUUUAAAGGCAGAGCUGAUGAGUUUCGAGAGAAAGAAAGGAAUGAAGGAUGAUUCCAAAGCUUUCCACCUGAGCAGUUAGAAGAAUGAAGUUGUCAUUUGUUAACAAUGGGCAGGACUGUGACAAAAGCAGAUUGGUCUGUUCUGAUUGUGUAAGAUUUGAGGUGAUGCGGAGGGCAGGGUUGAAUAUGAGCUGAGGAGAGACUUGUGGGCUG
rnacentral:lncRNA from 10 species